UUUGUUUCUUUUUUCAAUUUUAAAUUAAUAUCUCUUUUGAAAUAAAAUUCAUUUAAUUUUAUAUUCUCUGCAUCUUUUACAGGUGGAAGUUGAAGUUUUGAUGAGCUUGAGGGGAAGUGAAGGACGAAAUGGAGAGCUUUUUGAGAUUUGGCAAAGAGUCAACUGGAUGUUGCAGACAAUUUGGGAAAGGUUGGUGGUGUGGCGUUUUUGUUUUUUUUAGGGUUUUCGGGAAUAUGACUUUCCUGCCCUUCCAUGUAAUGGUUUACACUAUCAGAAUUGACGAACAAGUGGAGAAAUGGACUUUUCAAACUUAAAGGGUGGGAUAUAUCAUUUGGUGGGACAUAGUCAUUCGGCCACGUGAGUAUUGUUUUAAGAUUUAAAAGUGAGUAAAUGGUGUUUGUUAUGGUGUUGCAAUAAAGUUGGUUUAGAUUAUAAUAUGGGCCAUCAGCUUUGAUUCAUAUCAUUAUUUUAACCAUGUUACUAAAUCAUCUGUCAAUGUAUGGUAUACUUGGAAUUCUUAGUGCAAACUAUGUAAAUCCUUAAAUUUUAUUGCUAUUUUUUAUUGGUCUUGAGUUGAAAUAUGGAAUAGCUGUGAGCUUAUUUUUUAUCAAGAGGGAAAAGAAAUCUCCUGGUGUGUUUCUCAGGCUUAGGCUUUCUCUUUAAUGGGAGAUCACUUGGUACUGUGCUCUGGGGCUGUCACUUUACUGGAGAUGGGAGGCUUCUGCAUGAAUGUUUCAAAAUUCAUGAUUGUUCCUUAUGAUUAUUUUAUAAUUUUUGGCAGCAGCACCACCUUUCAAUUAUUUUGUCCUAAAAAAGGUGCUAGCGAAGGUAUCUUCCAUUAUUGAGUUUUUGGCUGCCUUUAAGAUAAGGGUUAUAGGGAGAAUACAUGAUUCUAAAUGUUUUUGUUGGCUUCUGUGAAGGAGAACAUUCAAAUAUCUUUGAUUGGAGAUAUCUCUAAGCCCAAAAGUCCUUGGAAGAAAUUAAUAAUCAAUAUGGAUAAGAGUACUAAGAACAAUACCCAAUUCCAACUUAUUGUUGCAGUUAGCUAUAGUGGGCGGUUUGAACAUUAAUUGAACAAUGAUGUUAUCAUUGAACCUAAUGAUGUUAAAUGAGUCAUUAAUUGAACAGGAACUGGAACUAGACUGUACUGAAUUUCCCCAUCCUGAUCUACUUGUAUGGACCAGUGGUGAGCCUGGAAUUUGUAAUUUCAUGUUAUGGCAUUUAGCCUAUAUUGAAUUAAUCUUUGCAGAAUCACUGUAGCCUGAUUUUGGAGAAGCUGACUCUUUAGAGGCACUGCAAUAUUUCCAAUGAAGGCAGAGACGCAAUGGUGAAUGAAACUUUGACAAUAUAUAUCUGUCAAAGUCUUUUAUCAUUUGAUUGAAAAGAAGUCCAAGAACCUACCAACUUCAGGAAGCAACUUGGAAGGAAAACUUGCUAGGAGCUUAUUGUUGAAGUGAAUUUGAUAUCUGGAAGGGUUUAAUUAGCAUUUAGAUUUCUGAAGGUUAAUGUUGCAGUAGUCUUCAAGGAAGACACAUCUGAGUUGUGGGUAGCAGUUUUAGACAUUUACCUAAAGAAUUUAUCUACAGAACUUUAUCAGCACCAAGACCAUUUACAACAGAGUAUAAAAAAUCCAGGUAAAAGCAAUGAUGAAUUUCUGGGAAAACAAGGAGUUAUUGGAGAUGCAGCUCUGUUAUAUACUUGGGAAAAAUUUUCUUGUCAUGAUUUUCAAGGUCUCUUACUAUACUUGUACAUGGAACCAAUUCACAAAUCUGUUUCUACUGUUGGCAUCAAAUUCAACUGUGCAAGAAAGAAGAUGAGGAAGGCUGAAUCUCUAGUGGCAAUGGGCACAAUCAGGUAUUAAAUUGCAGUGUUGUGUUGUGUGUGGCUUUAGCUUUUAUAAGUAGAAGUGAAAUCCUGUAAGCAAAUGGUUGCUUCUCCCACUACUAGUAUUGUAGUUGGUUAGGAGGAUACUUCAUUUUCUGGAAUCCUUAAUUAGAGGUUCAUAUGUCAUUGUCUAAUCAUUUUCAAUUAGUAUGAGUUUUACCUUCUCAA